rnacentral:rRNA from 1 species
CCUACGGGAGGCAGCAGUGAGGAAUAUUGGUCAAUGGACGAGAGUCUGAACCAGCCAAGUAGCGUGAAGGAUGACUGCCCUAUGGGUUGUAAACUUCUUUUAUAAAGGAAUAAAACGAGGCACGUGUGCCUUUUUGCAUGUACUUUAUGAAUAAGGAUCGGCUAACUCCGUGCCAGCAGCCGCGGUAAUACGGAGGAUCCGAGCGUUAUCCGGAUUUAUUGGGUUUAAAGGGAGCGUAGAUGGGUUGUUAAGUCAGUUGUGAAAGUUUGCGGCUCAACCGUAAAAUUGCAAUUGAUACUGGCAGUCGUGAGUACAGUUGAGGUAGGCGGAAUUCGUUGUGUAGCGGUGAAAUGCUUAGAUAUCACGAAGAACCCCGAUUGCGAAGGCAGCUUACUAAACUGUGACUGACAUUGAUGCUCGAAAGUGUGGGUAUCAAACAGGAUUAGAUACCCCUGUAGUC